CCCUUAGAUGUUCUGGGCUGCACGCGUGUUACAAUCGGGAGUACAACAAGAUUGCAAAUCCUAGUGGAUGGGUGGUUCUUCGAAAUUUUCUGAAGACUGGGAUAGUUGAUUGAAAUUAUUCAACUCAAACGAGGAAUUCCUUGUAAUUGUAAUUCAUUAUAUUGUAAUGAAUACGUCCCUGCCCUUUGUACACACCGCCCGUCGCUCCUACCGAUUGAACGAUCCGGUGAAUUAUUUGGAGUAGCUCUGGAAGUUGCAGAACUUCCUAUGUCACGAAAUUUUGUAAACCUUAUCGUUUAGAGGAAGGAAAAGUCGUAACA
rnacentral:rRNA from 1 species